UUUCCCCCCUCCCUCUUUCCAUCUUCCUCUCUUUCUUUUUUUUCUUGAAAACCUGAUGGUCCUUGCCAGCAUUCUACAGUCCGUGCCAGGCAUCAGGCCAAGAGACCUGUCAGUGAGGCUGUUACAGGUCUGGUGAGGAAACUGAGCUUCAGAAAGGUGAAGGGAUUUGCCUAUGGCUAUGGAGCAGAUUAUUAUCAAGAUAGAAGAAUUACAGUUCUUCCUGAAAAUCUGAGGAUGGAUCUACAAACUCUAACUGAGAAGUCACUGUGGUGUUUACAUUAAUGGCACUCAUUGCGAGAGAGUCUGGAGGCUGUUCCACACCACCGAACCACCCACAGGCCCUAGGUUCCAUAUCCCGUAGUACCAGCUCCAUUUUACACAUGAAGAAAUGGAAGUUCAGAGAGACAAAGUGACUUGCUCAAUGUCACACAGCUGCAGGUGCUGUGGCCCCACACUGGCUGGACACUGCAGAGGUCACCGAAAUGAACAACACAUGGUCCCUGCCCUUGGAGUGUUCUCAGCUCAUUCUGGGAGGUCCUGGACUGACAGCCUUUCUGACUUCCCAGCUGGCAUUCCCGCCUACAGCCCCACCUUACUCUAGCCCAACCCCACGUCAGCUUGGGAGAACCUUCCUCACAAUAACUGGAGAAGCAAUGACUGGAAGACCUGGCUAAAAAUUGGUCCUGGACAAGGCUGAGCUGCUACCAAGCUGAUCCAAAGACAAGAACCAGGCUGACAAGCCUGAAACACUCUGUUCCAGCCAUCAGAAGCGACACUGAACAGAGAGAUGAAGAAAUCGAGGCCCAAAUUGACAAUGUGAUUUGCGCAAAGUCACUCAGGCACACAUGGCAGAACCAGGUCCAGGAAGCCAAGUUUUCUAAGACUUUGUUCCUUACUGCGUGUGGCACAGAGGUUUGUUUUGACAGCGUGACUGACGACAAUGAAGUGCUUUCCGCCGAUUUCUCUUAGUGUUUGUUAACAUCUUUAUUCAUCCUUUUACAGUGUUCUUAGAGUCGGCCCACUCCAUUAUUCUUAGAAAGAAAAAUAAUUAUUUUCAUUACAAAAAUUCUCAUCACAUAAAAUUUGGGAUAUACGGGGGAAAAAAGAGCAAUAUGAAAACAACUUUCAUCAUCCUCACGAAGUUACUUCUAGCUUUCUAGCAUUUUCUUCUAGUCCUUCCUGCUUUCUAUGCAUGGUUAUUUCUUUGUGGGUUAAACACUUGGGAUAAUUAUUCCUAUUAACACAUAUGAUUGCCAAUGCACAAUCACCUUUAUUGAUCUGUAAGUGCCAUCUUCUCUUCUGUUCUAAUCCCUGUGCUUUCCUUUUACAAUUGAUCCAUCUUGUGCUGGAGAGUCAGGCAGUGCUCAAAGAAGUGAUGGGGGCAUGUCAAAAAGAUACGGAAAUCAGCCUGAAGUGGCUUCCAUCAGCCAAAUCUGGGAUAAUUCAAGCAUCAAAAUAGUCAUGAAAAUAAGCCAUUAAAAAAUAGGAAUCUAAAAAAAAAAAUAGGAAUCUCUGAGUCUUGUGAUGAUAGAUCAGUAAUAAGUGGAUUAAUACUGAGGAAGAGGCUCUUGCUUCCAGUAAAAUGCCAGCCGAUCAACAGGAAGGGAGUUUUAGGGCUGGAAGAUCGUUUCGCAGCCAUCAUGGUAAAGCUUGGCUUAAAUAAGAAUCGUCAUUCUGGAAGGAGCUCCUCAAGGUGAAACGAAAGGCUGCCGGUUUGUGACGUGAGGACGUAUAAAAAUACAAACCAAACUUCAGGGUAAAAAGAAAGAAGACACCUCCUCUUGGAUCAUGGCAAACAUUUAUGAGAAGCCUUCAAGCUGUUUUCUAUUCCCCUACAACUUGGGCAGAAUGAAGUCCAAGUCAGAGAAGCAAAUAUUUGAGAGUUACAUGUGGGCUUAGGGAAUGUUUAUCCAAUCUGGGUAAGAAUCAUUUGUCACUAAAAGGCUCCACACACCCUACCCCCAUCACCGUGUCACCUUGCAGAAGGUCAAGUGGCCUUAUGCACGAGGCUCAUGCUCUGCAUUCUUCAUCAAGGGGCACAGAGGGGUGGGUGAAGUCACUGCUGUCACAAGCCAGUAGUCAGGAGGGGAUUAAGAGUAGAAGCCCGCCUUUGCAGGGGGAAUUCAAAUAUGCCAUACCCUUUCUCCAAAGGCCAAACAGCAGAGGGCUAAGGCUUGUGUCCAUUUGGGGCAAAGCUUUAGAAAAAGAAACAGGUGAACUGAGGUCUAGACAUCAUUAAGAUGAGUGGUCUCAAGCGACAGUUAAACAGUAUAUUAUGGUUUAUCACAUCAGUCUCCUCAGCCUGCUCAAGAGAAAAGAGGUCUCUCCAGAGGGCCAAGAUCCAGCCCCAGCUCAGCUCCUGACUUGCUGGGUAAUCUUGGGCUGGUGACUUGCCUUCUGAGGCUCUCAAGUUCCUCAUCUAUAAAAUUAGGAAUGGAGUAAGUAAUGCCUAAGUUGGCACCUGAUUCUUUUUUUGGAACCCACAUGAUGACUCUGAGAUGGGUAUGAAAAAGAACAUCACCCCCAUCUUACAGAUAAAAAAACUGAGGCUCGCCAAGUGGAAGAAUUGAGGCCAGAGUUGCAGUGGACAUAAGUAGCUCUGAAUUCCCUAACUCUGACAUUCUUUCCAUUGCAAUGACAACCCUAUUGCAUAGUUGCCAUUGGAAUUUUUGUACUUGGGACAAUUGUGGGUGAGGGAACAGUAUGGGCAGAGGCCCAGAAUCCUGUCUUUGUAACCGAGACACAUCUGUCUCCACUUAAUGCUCACUACUUUCUCUUUAGGGGUUUAAAAAAUUGGCUUAUCGAUGUUUUGUAACCUUGGUUUUCCAUCAACAGUGAAGGAAGAUACCAUGGCAGGCAGUCAGAAAUAACCCUGGAAUGACAAGAAUGUAGCUGUCUCUCUUAGGCAUGUCAGCAAAGGAUGCACCGGGCUGAUUCCAAGCAGAGAAAGGCUGAGCUGAGAGGCACCUGCCACAGGCCAUGUGAGCAGCAGUGACAUUAGCCCAUAGGAUGGGGACUCUCUAGGCAGCCACAUACCAGUUGGGAGCUUCACCCAUGUCAACUCAUCGAAUCCUCACAGCAGUCCCAGACGUGGGACACAUCAUCAUCCCCAUUUCACAGAGGAGAAAACCAAGGCCUUCCAAGGUUGUGGAGCUUGCCCAGAAAGUCUCCAGCCCUUCCUUUAGGCCCUCAAUGGCUCCUCAGUGGAUGCCCUAAUGCUCAAGGCCUCCGGAUGAUUCCUCUGCUCCGGCCCUAUGCCCCAGGUGUGUUUAUCUCAGGAUACUAUGGACUCACCUAGCUUUUCCUACUUCUUGCUUGUGCUCCUCCCCUGCCUAGAUUUCCUUUUUUUCUCACAUCCGUGUGUUGAAACCCCUCUCAUCCUUCAAGGCUUAAUGAAAUGCCACCUCUUCCACAAAGUCUUUGUCUUCAUCUGCAUGAAAUCUCUCCUUCCAUUCAUUCCUCCUUUGGCCCUCUGCAUCUCCUGCACCAGAGACACACCAGACUUGGCUUUGUAUGGCCUGGAGGCCCCUUGUGAACUGUAGCUCCUUACAGGCAGGAAAUGUGUGUCUUGGGCACUGUGGGAGACGGGCACAACACCUGCCAGAAGGAAAGUGUUCAGUGCUGUUUGUUGAGUUUAUAUAAAAACAACAGAGACCAUACCAGAACAGCCCCUCCGUGGUUGUGUGCUCAGAAUCCUUGAUUUUAUGGAUGAGGAAACUGUGACCUAGUCUCAGGUGGGAAAUUACGUAUUUUCAGCCUUCUCUUUCAAGACAACCUGAAUGAUUAGAACAAAAGAUUGAAAGUUUCCAUUUGGGGCCCUAUUAGCUGCUGGCUUGGGAAAAUAUAUUUCUUUGUAAUGCUGUCAAGUGGCAAAGGGUGUGCCUUUCAUGGUAAAGUCUCCCUGCUUCAAAGAGACGAUUGUGAACUGUUUGGUCCCUUUCUCACCGUUCUCUGGCUGUCACGGGUGCAUCCCAGCCCUGGUCUCUCACGUGGCCUGGUUAGAACGCUCUUUUCACUCCACUGUAUUAUUCUUCUAACCUGCCUUUCCUCAGAGGGAAGCCCGACUUGCCCUCCAGGUUCGAGGUUCUGGAGCUGUUUUUGAGAGCCCAACUCUCCCAGGGAAAACACAGGAGACGAAUGAAAGCCGCCCCCCGUGCAGCAAAUCCUUCUGGUUGUGUGAAACCUCAGAAGGUAAAGCAGUCUUCUUCAUCGCGUCUUUGUCGUCUGGCAGCGUGUAAAGAAGGGCAAAGCAGAAAGGCAAACCCGAACACCUGUGGCCUUUAUGAAAACCAAAGCCACCUCCCGCCCUGCGCGGUUUGUGUUCUCAACCUGCAGCAUCUGUCAGCCUCCGAUGAAAACCCAGCAAUGGGGGGACCCCGAACCCGGGCUCAGACGAGCUGACUGAGGAAUUAGAAGGAUUUUGCCAUAAGCCCAUUAAUUCUGUCUGAUUGAAAUAUCUUCCAAUUCCACGCGGCCAAGGACAGCUGCACUUUUGUCUCAUAUUUUCCAUGGUGUUUUACGCCUGCUUGGAAACAGGGGUGUGGGUCUUUACAGAAAGGUGGAAGGGCCGGAGAUGUGGACCCCAGAGAGAGGGGGCUCCGCAGCUGCCACUUACCAGCCAGAGGGGGGCUUGGCCACACCACUGAAGGCUCCAAGUCUCAACUACCUUAGAUGCUGUAUUUUACCAGGAGUUCACUCUCUAAGGUCAUGUACAGUUGUUCAUUUAUCACCAGGUUGGGAGAAAAGGGAAAGCAAAACUUCAUGGUUGAAGGAAGGCCAUUUAUCUCAAUUUUCUCUGUAACAAAAUUGACUUUGGCCCUUUGAUCUACUUCGGGACCUGGCGAAGGCAUGGUCUGAGCACCUGCGGUGGGAGGAGCUGGUGGGGAGACCCAAGUAGACUCAGCUAUGGAGACCGGACACUGCUGGGACCAAGAUGCUACUUCACUGACUCAGGGUCAUCAUCUAAGACAGGCCCGCAGUCCUCCGCAUUCAGUAAGCAGCACUCUCAUUACUCCUUCUGGAACCCCAAAACUGAAACCACCAACAGCCCUUGGAAUGCAGAGAGACACCUUAAAUCAUUCUCUUUGUUUAUACAUUCCUCAAGUAUAAAAACAAAUGCUGUUCAUAUCCAGGUGCCCCCUCAAAAAAACAAAAACAAAAACAAAAAAAACCCAAAUGCUAAUAUUCUUGCUAUAAUUUUAAAUCAAUGAAGAGACAACAAAGGAUCUCAAUGAUGUAAAAACUAUGCAUAAAAGAAAAGACUUGAUGAAAAUGUUGAUUAAUAGUGGUUGUAUUUAAGAGAUAAUGGGCUUUUUUCAGCGUUUGUAUGUAUUUUUUAAAAACUUAAAAGGGGGGAUGCCUGGGUAGUUCAUAUGGUUAAG